UUGGUGACAGAUCUAGGUGCUGUUGUAGGGCCCUCCUUGGUUGGUGACAGAUCUAGGUGCUGUUGUACGGCCCUCCUUGGUUGGGGACAGAUCUAGGUGCUGUUGUACGGCCCUCCUUGGUUGGGGACAGAUCUAGGUGCUGUUGUACGGCCCUCCUUGGUUGGGGACAGAUCUAGGUGCUGUUGUACGGCCCUCCUUGGUUGGGGACAGAUCUAGGUGCUGUUGUACGGCCCUCCUUGGUUGGUGACAGAAGAACCAGAUCAUCAGCAAACACAGAAAUACAGUAGACAUUUGACUUCAGAUUGGAAAUAUUUUAACCACACACUUGUUGUUUGUGUACAUGGAUUGUUUGAUGUUGUAUGUUCCCCCCCGACACCACUUUCCGUCAAUUUGUGAUUGACCAGCUCAAAUCGGUCUUAUGUAGCAAAAUUCAAAAUUGUGUUUUUAUUAACAUUGGAUAAAAGUAGAGAUUCAGAGCUACAAAAUGGUAUUUCGCAUUUGAGGAACAAAGGGAAAGUAAUUCUGCUUUGAAAGUUGAUCAACUUGUAAGCCCACUUUUGAGAAAAUGGCCCUUGAAUGUUUUGGUACUGAGUGAAGAGCUCCUCUUUGUCUCCUCCCGUUCAGCAUCGUUCACACCCUCUUAACCCUCCGGUUGUGUUCGUUUCAUGUUAAUUAAUUCUGUGUUCCCGGUCCAAAAUGACCACCCCAUUUAUAGCU